AGGGCGGGUGACAUUCAGCCCACAGUGGGCAGAGCUGUUGGGGAGGCUGACAAGGCUGGGUGGCUCCCACUGUUCUGGCUUGAGAAUUGACUCGGAGGAUGGGGUGUUCAGUUCCUUGUCCCUCUCUCAGGCUGCUGUGCUGGAGGACAGGGAGAUGGGGCCUGAAGCACAUCUGUCCUCCUGUGGACUUCCGUUGGGGGCAUCUAGGUAUUUCAUAAUUUAGUAUCUGCUACGUUGACAGACGUGUGUAAGGGAAAGAUGAGGAUGAGUUCAGACUGACUCCUCCCACUAGGACCAAACUGCUGGUGGUGGCUGUGUGUGCCUCUCCCGGUCCUUCAUCCCCACUGCAGAGGUAUUACUUGCCUGGAUCUGAUGUUUAUGACUCCAUGAACUGCCACCUGCUCCUGCCAUGGUGGAGCUCAUCGGGUAGGAAGCUUACUGGCCCAGGAUGGGGAAGAUGCUGUUGAGCUAGGGAACAAAGCCAUUUUUCCCAUUAAGACAGUGCUACAGUCCGGAAACUGAUCUUGGAGAACCCUCAGAGAUAUGUGUGGUUAAGAGAAAGGAGCAGGACACAGACAAAAGGCAGAGGCAGCUCUGUUUACUAGAGCCAUCAUGUAUUGACCUGUUACCUAAGCAUCAACAGCUUAAUCCUGCUGAUAGCAACACCAUGAACAGAGACGACAGUGUAUUCAGUGGAGUAAGUCAGACAUAGGAAGACAAGUGUCACAUGGCCUCACUCACAUGGGGGGUUCUGAUGCAGAAACUGGGAGCAGACAGUGGUCAUCAGAGGCCAGGUCAAGCGUUCAGUUGCAUGGUAGGGUGUCUAAGUUCAACAAUAAUGUAGGCCAGAAGAAAGGGCUUUGAAUGUUCUCGUCAUCCUGAUCUGACCAUCAUGCAACAUGAUGCAGGACCACGGCACACUACGUAUAGCGACCAAUUAUUAAACAGCUUCCUUAAAAAUGAGGACCUGAAGCUUGCCAAUGGGGACAAGUUUGCCAAUAUCAGUAUUCUGCAUCCUCUGCAUCCUGAUUACAGGAGGUCCGAGUGGAUGAAUACAGACUCCUGAGUGAGGAAGUCAUUGUUGCUUGACGUCAUGAAGGGUCCUAAAAGGAGAGCCUGAACCCCACUGUGUCUAGGCCUAGGACCCCAGAGACAGUAGUACUUCAUCUUGGAGGACAUGACAGGUAUUGGUUGAAGGCCCACUAUUGACUGGGGCUUAGACCCUGGAGAAAAGUAGCCAGAAAAGAGGUAAGUAUUGAACUCUGUGUCAUGGGGUGGGGGGACUUCCUUAUGUUAUCAACAACGGGGCAGGAGCAACCCCACAUAGGUUAUAAUAACUCUUUACUUAACCCAAAGCUCAAAGUAACAAAUCUCUGGCCUGUCAGCGGGGUAACCUUGGGAAGGUCACUUUACCUCUCUGGACUUAUCUUUUCUGCGAUAUGAAUCAGAACUACUCACACUUCACGCUUCCUGCUGGGGGUGCUCACAGGACAGCACCCAGCCCACGUGUGCAGAUGUAUCAGACAGAAGUGGAAGUGUAGAAGCUGAGCUGGUUGCUGCCCCAGGCAUCUAGGUAGGUGUGAGCCAGACAACCCCUCACCCUAGGUUAGUCUUGGUCUUCAUCCACACUGAGACAACCGUGCAAGACUGUAAACUGUUUCUCAGAAGUGUCUGGGGAUACAAGCCAGACCCUGAGGGGCCUGAAGGCUUGGCACAUGCCCUGCUCUGCUGCUUUGGCUUCUGGCCUCUGCUGCCUCACUGUGAACUUCACCCUCUACAGACAACAGUCCAGAGCUGCUUCCCAGGAGGGAACAAAACCCAGAACGUGACUGGCUGGCUGCGCACAUCAUAGUCAGUGUGUUCAAGAUGGGAAGCCCAGCCUGGUAUCAGCACCGUCCAGGGCUGCACGGUCACUGCUGUGAGGAAAGCUGGGCAUACUUGCAGGGAAGGAGGGAAGAGUAGUACCCAUUUCCUUUACUUUUGAUUCCAGGAGCAAACUGGAAUCAAAGGUAAAGGAAAACCACGAAGGGCCACACAGGCUAAAGAAAUAUUCAGUUCUAGGGGCCAUGUGGGAACUGGGGCCUUCCCACCCCUUCUGUGCCUCAAGUGUAGCCUGGCUACUGCCCUGCUGCAGACUCAGAGGGGUGCACGAAGGGCAUGCAGGCUGAGAUAGGUGGGGAGAUGGGCCUGGAUUACUUGGUAGGUCUGUUGCAGUCACAGAGACAGGCAAUGCCAGAGGAGAGAAGGCGCUCCCCUGCUGUCUGAUGGCUUGGAAGAGACAAUGCGGUCACAAGUCAAGGGAUGGAGUGCACCCUAAAAGCCUCCAGAAGGAGCUAGUCAUGAUGACUUGACUACAACUCAGUUUGGACUUUGACCUUCAAAGGCUUUGUAAGAAAAAAAAAAGUGUGUUGCCUUAAGUCGCUGUCUGGGGAAGCUUGUUAAAGCAGUAUUAGGAACAAGUCUAGGAUGAGCCCUUCAGUACCGCCACCUGUCAAAACCUGCCUAGGCUUUAUACCACUGGUGUGGAGUCAAAGUCCUUCACCCUUGGCGCAGGACAGUCAAACAUGAUGCGGCUGUCAGAAGUUGGGUCUUUACCCAAUCACACCGCUUUGCAUGCAGCAGACCUCCGGAGUGUUGCUCGCAGUCAGUGUUCUAUCAAUGGGUGUAUGCGAGACCUGACUGGAGGGGUGGAGUCCUCCGUAUCCUCAGAACAAAUCACGUGCAUAACCUGUGAUUUAAGGUCCUCGGCAAGCGAACGGAGUGUUUCCAAGGGUCCGCAUGAUCGUGCCCUGGGAAACCCUAAAAGCAGAGCGACCCAUCUCACACGUGAUCAGCUACUCUUCUAGAACGCAGCUUUCUCCGCGGUGUUCCUGCCAAGCAGGGUCUUACCAUCUGCUUGAAUGCCUUGAGCAAUGGGAUGCGUCACUGUCUGUGGAACUGGUACCAAGGGCACUGCUGUGGUUUGGAUAUGGCUCGUUCCCAACAGAAGGUCAUGCUGAAGUUUAACCAUGGUGAGGGGUAAAAGGGUGGAAACUAAACCCAACUGUGAUGUCUAGAGGUGCUUGGGAGGUGGUUAGGAGCAAGUCAUUGGGGUGAAGCCCCUCCUGAUGUGGGGUAUUUCUCUGUAUGCUGUGAAUAUGUUCUAUUACCAUUUGUUAAUAAAGAAUCUGCUUUGGGCCUAUGGCAAUGCA